rnacentral:rRNA from 1 species
UACAGAGGGUGCGAGCGUUAAUCGGAAUUACUGGGCGUAAAGCGUGCGUAGACGGUUAUUUAAGUCGGGUGUGAAAGCCCCGGGCUCAACCUGGGAAUUGCGCUUGAAACUAGGUCGCUAGAGUGUGGCAGAGGGGGGUGGAAUUCCACGUGUAGCAGUGAAAUGCGUAGAGAUGUGGAGGAACACCGAUGGCGAAGGCAGCCCCCUGGGUCAACACUGACGCUCAGGCACGAAAGCGUGGGGAGCAAACAGG